rnacentral:lncRNA from 1 species
UGGCUUUGGUUACCUCCUCUCUCCCCCGCAAGCGGAGACCCGCUAGCCAACUUCCAAGUCAAGUAAUAUUGUGAAUUGUGAAACACACAACUACUCAGCAUACGUUUGAGAAACAUCGACCUCGAGUACACAGUACACAGUACACUACCGCUGCAUAGUUUUCAGCGCAGAUAUUGAGCAAGAGUACUUGAAAGUCUUUAGGAAAGUAACAUAGGUGAAUAAAACAGAAUAAGAACACUGGAGGUUGAUAUUGAGAUUGAGAAACGACUUGAGUAGAAUAGAGUUCGAGCUAACUAACGAAAAUGUAGUUCAAUUAAGAAGAUUGAUUUCUCACGAGUGCUUUUCUGAGUAGAAGCACGUUGUUAUUGAUGUGAAUGUGGACGUUGAUAUUGAUAUUGACGAACACGCGACCUGGUGCAGUAAUAAUUUUCAAUAGAACAAAGUUACAUUCCAUCGGUAGUUGAGCCAACAAUUAAAAAACCGACGGCAUUAAAAAAUCCACAGAGAUAUUAAUUUAGUGACGCAAUCUUCCCAGGAAAUCCUAGAGCCGCCGGAAAACUGAAGCAAUCACGCCACGGAAGUCUAACUGAGACAUUGUUCAUUUUAUAAUUAAUUUUACAGAAAAAGGAUUUUUAUUUACCGGUGGAGCUGCACGGGAGUUGAUCUCGCAGGUAAAUGCUGGUUGUGAGAAGGCGGA